GAGGAGUGUUUCUUUUUCCUUUCGAAAUUAAAAUCGUAUCUCGUGAAAUUAUUCGUGUGAUUUCAACGAAAUGUAACAGGUAUGAAGAAAAAUUCUUUUCUCGAUUUAUCUUAUCGUUACGUGUACUUGUGCCAGGCUCAAGAUUGAUUUCAAAUCAACAGGUUCUAUACAACGAACUACGUAUGUAUUUACUUACAAUAUUCGUUUUGAACGCAAAACAAGGAAACAGUUACAAAAUGACUUCAUCCUAAAUCUUUAAUAAAUCGUUUUGUUCAUAUUUAUACGUCAAUUUUGAAUUUUCAAAUUCAAAUAAAAGUAUUCUUCAAAAAAAAAAGUAUCAAUUUCUCUUUUGUUUUCUUUUUUUAUGAUAAUAACAUUCUUCCAAAAGUCACGUUUAAGAGGAAAAAGGUAAUUUCUAAGGUUAAUUUUCGUUCCGCAAUAAAUCUUUUUUUCUGUAGAAAUUUGAAAUCUUCAUGUUGUGUCUUUAUCUUUCGAAUGAAUUUCUGAUCAACAAAAUCUGUUGAGAAUUAUACAAUUGGGAGUAUUUAUAAUGUAAACCUUUAUAAAUGCAUUGGGUUUGUGAAUAGUUUUAAAGAUCGUUUUCAAUGUAUAAAUAAUAAUUCAUAUAAAUCUCUAUACAAUAAAAUGAAAUGAAAUGAAAGUACAGAUCCAUAAUUUUGCAAGAAUUAUAUGCAGUAAUACGGAAAUAAAUAUAUAAGAAAUGGACAAAGUUUCUUCGAUUAAAAUGAGCCAGCUUUAAUGAAAAUGCUAAAGAUAUUACAUUGAAUUAUAUACAAAAUGACCUUCAUUUAUUUGGAUCUAUUAACAAUGGAAAGAAUACAAUCUUCAUAAACUUUACACGAUCCUUUAAGGAAAGAGAAAAAAAAAAACAUGAUUUUUAAUCUGCAUCUGUGAUGGAUCAUCAGAACAGUGUUAGAAUGAAAAUAUUAUAUUAAUUUUUUCAAUGCUCAAUGAUGUAAGGAGUGUAUAAUGCAAUACAAACAAUUGAGCAACUGUA